ACGGUCUCGUGUAGCCUAGGCUGGCUCAAGCUCGCCAUGUAGCUGAGGAUGGCCUAUUACAGUGGAAUUUCAAGUCAAGAGGAGCAGAUGAGCAGUGUCAAGGAAAACACCCUUUGCAGACAGUGACAGGACCUGUCCUCCAGAAAUGAGGCGACAAAGAUCACAUAAAUGUUUAAUUUUACUGUGCAUAUUAAUGUAACCAUUGAACACACUUGGCUCCGAAGCAAAUUACUUGUCACAGAAUGAGGAUGAGGGGCACGUGCUGUGUCUGGCAUGUACUUACUUACAUGCAAUAGACAAAGAAUGGAAACAAUCUUCAUGUCUUCCCAAUGAAGAAAAAGAAAAAAAGUACCUGUAUAUAAUGCAAAACAGUUCAUCUUAAAACAGAUGGGAUCUUUCUAUUGAUACCAACAUGGAUGGGACUGAAGAUUAAUAUAAGCCAGGCACAGGAGGUGCAUACUGUCUUAUUGCACUCAUGUGAGGACUGUAAAAUAGCUGUUGAGGGCAGAAUGGUGGUUACCAGAUUCUGGAGAGAGUGGCUGGGAAAAGUUGACUAGUGAGUACUAUGCUAUAGUUAAUUUAACACAGGCAUGAAGUUCUGUAUUCUAGUGUGGACUACAGUGACUGUGGACAAUGGUGAUGCACUGUGUUGUGAUGUUUAAUCUUGGCUGUCAACUUGAUUAAAUCAACUAAGAGACAA